UAGGGAAUCUUGGACAAUGGGCGAAAGCCUGAUCCAGCCAUGCCGCGUGAGUGAUGAAGGCCUUAGGGUUGUAAAGCUCUUUCGCCGGGGAAGAUAAUGACGGUACCUGGAUAAGAAGCCCCGGCUAACUUCGUGCCAGCAGCCGCGGUAAUACGAAGGGGGCUAGCGUUGUUCGGCAUUACUGGGCGUAAAGCGCACGUAGGCGGCUUUCCAAGUUGGAGGUGAAAUCCCCGGGCUUAACCCGGGAACUGCCUCCAAAACUGAAAGGCUAGAGUCCGAGAGAGGAGAGUGGAAUUUCCAGUGUAGAGGUUAAAUUCGUAGAUAUUGGAAAGAACACCAGUGGCGAAGGCGGCUCACUGGCUCGGUACUGACGCUGAGGUGCGACAGCGUGG
rnacentral:rRNA from 1 species